UGUUCUGUGGCUUAGUUGGUUAAAGCACUGGUCUAGCGAAUACGGGGUCGUGUGUUCAAAUCCCACCAGAACGC
rfam:Aedes albopictus isolate Foshan contig19271, whole genome shotgun sequence.